rnacentral:RNase_P_RNA from 1 species
AGAGUAGGACAAAUGACCGCUGCCUUGCUAUCCGGCAAGGGGGAGGAAAGUCCGGGCUCNNNNNNNNNNNCGGGAAGGAAAGUGCCACAGAAAGGAAACCGCCAGGUGCUCACUGAUCUGGGUGCCGGGUAAGGGUGAAAGGGUGAGGUAAGAGCUCACCAGUCUCGGCGGUGACGCCGGGAGCUAGGUAAACCCCGCCUGGAGCAAGACCAAAUAGGGGAACGUUUGAGGGUAGUCCGCCCGAGUUCCCGGGUAGGUCGCUUGAUCUCGAUGGUAACAUCGAGACUAGAUGAAUGGUCAUUGUCCUGAAAGUGGGUGACCACUUCGGGAAACAGAAUCCGGCUUAUGGCCUGCUCUGACA